rnacentral:rRNA from 1 species
UACGUAGGGUGCGAGCGUUAAUCGGAAUUACUGGGCGUAAAGCGUGCGCAGGCGGUCUGUUAAGACCGAUGUGAAAUCCCCGGGCUUAACCUGGGAACUGCAUUGGUGACUGGCAGGCUUUGAGUGUGGCAGAGGGAGGUAGAAUUCCACGUGUAGCAGUGAAAUGCGUAGAGAUGUGGAGGAAUACCGAUGGCGAAGGCAGCCCCCUGGGAUGACACUGACGCUCAUGCACGAAAGCGUGGGGAGCAAACAGG